UGUCCAAUGCGGGAAUCGAACCCGGGUCGAACUGGUCGAAACCCAAACGGUUUAACCAGCCUUCCACCGACCCCCCUCAGCCAUCUAUGAC